rnacentral:lncRNA from 1 species
UAGAUGGAUGGAUUAUAAAAGAUAGAGUACUUUGAGAUCUAUGUAGGUAGACGAACAAUAAAUGAUAGAGCACUCUGAGAUUUUUAUAGAUGGAUGAAUGAUAAAGGAUAGCUUGCUUCAAGAUCUGUAUAAUGAAUAAAUAAUAGAGGAUGAUGUAUUUUUAACAUUUAUGCAGAUGGAUGGAUCAUAGAAGAUGGAGUGCC